UGUGCUCUGUCUUUUGUCGGUUCAUUGUUCCACACCGUGACUGUUCCUACAUGUGAUUGUUUCUACAGAUGUGUCUCUAUAUGUUUCUGUAUCCUUGAAGAAGUCUUUGUAUUACCGAACAUUCAGAGGGGAGUUUCUCUCUUCGGGGAUCAGGGAACGAGAAAGACUGAACACCUGAACUCGGAUGUUCCUGUAUGAAAUUAGACUCCAAAUGGCAGUAAAAACCGAGAAGUCCAGUUUCAGAGCUGAAGGGUGAAGCAGAAGCACAAAGGAGUGAAAUCCUGGAAAAAGACACCGUGCGGAGCGUCUCUGAUAUGUUUGUGUAUGAAGCGUGUUUGUUGGCUUGUGGGUGACGGUAAAAGACUCGCUGAACUCUCGCUCUUUUCAUUCUACUUUAAUUAUCAGGCUCAGAUAUCCACUCUUCUGAUUACAGUGUUUCCUUUAACAUGACAAAGCAGUGUGUGUGUGUGUGUGUGUGUGUGUGUGUGUGUGAGUGUGUACCAUACCCUAAUCUAUUAACACUAAUACUGCAAUAAAUUAUGUUCCUCCUCAGUA